rnacentral:SRP_RNA from 1 species
GCCAGGCGUGGUGGUGCGCGCCUGUAGUCCCAGCUACUCGGGAGGCUGAGGUGGGAGGAUGGCUUGAGUCCAGGAGUUCUGGGCUGCAGUGCGCUAUGCCGAUUGGGUGUCCGCACUAAGAUCAGCAUCAAUAUGGUGACCUCCCGGGAGUGCGGGACCACCAGGUUGCCUAAGGAGGGGUGAACCGGCCCAGGUCGGAAACGGAGCAGGUCAAAACUCCCGUGCUGAUCAGUAGUGGGAUCGCGCCUGUGAAUAGCCACUGCACUCCAGCCUGGGCAAUGUAGUGAGACCCUGUCUCU